CCCUUAGAUGUUCUGGGCUGCACGCGCGCUACACUGACAUACUCAGCAAGUUUCCUUUCCCGAAAGGGUUGGGUAAUCUUGUUAGUGUAUGUCGUGAUGGGGAUAGAAUAUUGUAAUUAUUGCUCUUUAACGAGGAAUUCCUAGUAAGCCCAAGUCAACAGCUUGCGCUGAUUACGUCCCUGCCCUUUGUACACACCGCCCGUCGCUCCUACCGAUUGGGUGAUCCGGUGAAUGGUUCGGACUCUGGCUAUGCUAGCUACUAGCUACGUCAGGGAAAGCUCUGUGAACCUUAUCACUUGGAGGAAGGAGAAGUCGUAACA
rnacentral:rRNA from 1 species